UACGUAGGGUGCGAGCGUUGUCCGGAAUUAUUGGGCGUAAAGGGCUCGUAGGCGGUUUGUCGCGUCGGGAGUGAAAACCCAGGGCUUAACCCUGGGCUGGCUUCCGAUACGGGCAGACUAGAGGUAUGCAGGGGAGAACGGAAUUCCUGGUGUAGCGGUGGAAUGCGCAGAUAUCAGGAGGAACACCGGUGGCGAAGGCGGUUCUCUGGGCAUUACCUGACGCUGAGGAGCGAAAGUGUGGGGAGCGAACAGG
rnacentral:rRNA from 1 species